CGCACAUUGCGCCCGCCAGUAUUCUGGCGGGCAUGCCUGUUCGAGCGUCAUUUCAACCCUCAAGCCUAGCUUGGUGUUGGACGCGGUCCUAGGACCCGUCCGCAACCCGUUGGCGGUACCGUCCGGCCUCAAGCGUAGCAGAAACCUCGCUUUAUGGGCUCGCGGCGGCGCCUGCCAGAGGAACCACUAAAUUUUUCAAGUUUGACCUCGGAUCAGGUAGGGAUACCCGCUGAACUUAA
rnacentral:misc_RNA from 1 species